rnacentral:rRNA from 1 species
CGCAACGGGAGGAGCGUGCGGUUCACAUUGGAUUCAACGCCGAAAAACUCACCGGGGGCGACGGAGGGAUGAAAGCCAGGCCGAAGACCUUGCCCGAUUCUCCGAGAGGUGGUGCAUGGCCAUCGUCAGUUCGUACCGUAAGGCGUUCUGUUAAGUCAGAUAACGAACGAGACCCUCGCCCUCAGUCGCAACUCCGUGCGCGAGCACGGGGGCACACUGAGGGGAUCGCCAUCGCUAAGAUGGAGGAAGGGGAGGUCUACGGUAGGUCCGUAUGCCCCAAAUCUCCCGGGCAACACGCGCGCUACAAAGGUGGGGACAAUGGGAUCCGACCUCGAGAGAGGAAGGCAAUCCUGAAACCCCAUCGUAGUCUGGAUUGAGGGCUGUAACUCGCCCUCAUGAAAAUGGAUUCCGUAGUAAUCGCGGGUCAACAUCCCGCGGUGAAUGUGCCCCUGCUCU